CACGGGGGUGAGAUUUAUCCUGGCUCAGGAUAACGCUGGCGGCGUGCUUAACACAUGCAAGUCGAACGCUGAAGCUCCAGCUUGCUGGGGUGGAUGAGUGGCGAACGGGUGAGUAACACGUGAGUAACCUUCCCUUGACUCUGGGAUAAGCCCGGGAAACUGGGUCUAAUACCGGAUAUGACCUCCUAUCGCAUGGUGGGGGGUGGAAAGAUUUAUCGGUCUUGGAUGGACUCGCGGCCUAUCAGCUUGUUGGUGAGGUAAUGGCUCACCAAGGCGACGACGGGUAGCCGGCCUGAGAGGGUGACCGGCCACACUUGGGACUGAGACACGGCCCAGACUCCUACGGGAGGCAGCAGUGGGGAAUAUUGCACAAUGGGCGCAAGCCUGAUGCAGCGACGCCGCGUGAGGGAUGACGGCCUUCGGGUUGUAAACCUCUUUCAGUAGGGAAGAAGCCUUCGGGUGACGGUACCUGCAGAAGAAGCGCCGGCUAACUACGUGCCAGCAG
rnacentral:rRNA from 2 species